CCUACGGGCGGCUGCAGUAAGGAAUAUUGGUCAAUGGACGAAAGUCUGAACCAGCCAUGCCGCGUGGAGGAUGAAGGUCCUCUGGAUUGUAAACUUCUUUUAUAUGGGACGAAAAAAGGCCUUUCCAGGUCGUCUGACGGUACCAUAUGAAUAAGCACCGGCUAACUCCGUGCCAGCAGCCGCGGUAAUACGGAGGGUGCAAGCGUCACCGGGAUUCACGGGGGCUAAAGGGUGUGUGGGUGUCUGUGGUGAAAUCCCCGAGCUUAACUUGGGAACUGCCAUUGAUACUAUCAGUCUUGAAUACCGUGGAGGUCAGCGGAAUAUGUCAUGUAGCGGUGAAAUGCUUAGAUAUGACAUAGAACACCAAUUGCGAAGGCAGCUGGCUACACGAGUAUUGACACUGAGGCACGAAAGCGUGGGGAUCAAACAGGAUUAGAUACCCUGGUAGUC
rnacentral:rRNA from 1 species